rnacentral:rRNA from 1 species
UACGGAGGGUGCAAGCGUUAUCCGGAUUUACUGGGUUUAAAGGGUGCGUAGGUGGGUCUGUAAGUCAGUGGUGAAAUCUCCGAGCUUAACUCGGAAACUGCCAUUGAUACUAUAGGUCUUGAAUUAUCUGGAGGUAAGCGGAAUAUGUCAUGUAGCGGUGAAAUGCUUAGAUAUGACAUAGAACACCAAUUGCGGAAGGCAGCUUACUACGGAUUGAUUGACACUGAGGCACGAAAGCGUGGGGAUCAAACAGG